GACACUCAUUCAUACCCAUUCACACACUCAUUCAUACACCGACUGGGUGUGUGCCAUUAAAGGCGCCAUCCAGCUCAUCGGGAGCAGCUGGGGUUAGGUGUCUUGCUCAAGGACACCUCCACACUUAGUCAGGUGGAGCCAGGGAUCGAACCACCAACCUUCCGUUCAUUGAACAAUAAUAAAUGAAGUACCUGAAGCUGACAAUGAAGUAAAUGUAUAAUAAUUAGCAAAGAUGAUUAAUUUAGCGCUGUAAACGCGCGUAUGAGCGGCGGACACGCGCCGCAGAGCGUCAGACGCGCGUGAGGACCAAACACAGCAGAAUGUUCAUUGAACAAUAAUAAAUGAAGAACCUGAAGCUGACAAUGAAGUAAAUGUAUAAUAAUUAGCAAAGAUGAUUAAUUUAGUGCUGUAAACGGGCGUGUGAGCGGCGGACACGCGCCGCGGAGCGUCAGAGGCGCGUGAGGACCAAACACAGCAGAACGGUAGGAAACUUCACUCCUCUUAUCAUUUAUCUUUUACUAUAGCGAUUUAUUUUUAGAUAUGUGAUCUGAGUCUUUCAUAGAGUUGUAGAGUUAUUAGAGAAAUAGAGUUAUUUUUUACAUUCUUUGGUCGAAGUUUUCAGAUCGGCACUUCGGAGCCUGUUCGCGACUCGGUUGAUUCAGAUCGGCACUUCGGAGCAUGUUCGCGACUCGGUUGAUUCAGAUCGGCACUUCGGAGCCUGUUCGCGACUCGGUUGAUUCAGAUCGGCACUUCGGAGCCUGUUCGCCACUCGGUUGAUUCAGAUCGGCACUUCGGAGCAUGUUCGCGACUCGGUUGAUUCAGAUCGGCACUUCGGAGAAUGUUCGCGACUCGGUUGAUUCAGAUCGGCACUUCGGAGCCUGUUCGCGACUCGGUUGAUUCAGAUCGGCACUUCGGAGCAUGUUCGCGACUCGGUUGAUUCAGAUCGGCACUUCGGAGAAUGUUCGCGACUCGGUUGAUUCAGAUCGGCACUUCGGAGCAUGUUCGCGCCCUCGGUUGAUUUCAGAUCGGCACUUCGGAGCAUGUUCGCGACUCGGUUGAUUCAGAUCGGCACUUCGGAGCAUGUUCGCGACUCGGUUGAUUCAGAUCGGCACUUCGGAGCAUGUUCGCGACUCGGUUGAUUCAGAUCGGCACUUCGGAGCAUGUUCGCGACUCGGUUGAUUCAGAUCGGCACUUCGGAGCAUGUUCGCGCCCUCGGUUGAUUUCAG